AUUGAACGCUGGCGGCAGGCCUAACACAUGCAAGUCGAACGAGUGGCGGACGGGUGAGUAAUGUCUGGGAAACUGCCUGAUGGAGGGGGAUAACUACUGGAAAAGGUAGCUAAUACCGCAUACCAUCGGAGGUGCCCAGUUGGGAUUAGCUAGUAGGUGGGGUAAAGGCUCACAUAGGCGACGAUCCCUAGCUGGUCUGAGAGGAUGACCAGCCACACUGGAACGUAGCCACGGCCCAGACUCCUACGGGAGGCAGCAGUGGGGAAUAUUUCACAAUGGGCGCAAGCCUGAUGCAGCCAUGCCGCGUGUAUGAAGAAGGCCUUCGGGUUGUAAAGUACUUUCAGCGAGGAGGCGUUACCCGCAGAAGAAGCACCGGCUAACUCCGUGCCAGCAGCCGCGGUAAUUC
rnacentral:rRNA from 1 species